CAGAGGCCUCGAGCGUUAGGCGGAAUCACUGGGCUUAAAGCGUGUGUAGGCGGACCCCUAAGUGUCUUGUGAAAUCCCACGGCUCACCCGUGGAACCGCUGGGCAUACUGGGGGUCUUGGGCCAUUCAGGGGCGACUGGAACAAGCGGUGGAGCGGUGAAAUGCGUAGAUAUCGCUUGGAACGCCGACGGUGAAAACAGGUCGCUGGGAAUGUGCCGACGCUGAGACACGAAAGCCAGGGGAGCAAACGGGAUUAGAUACCCCGGUAGUCCUGGCCCUAAACGAUGUCCACUAGAUUGCGGCGGGUUUGACCCCGUCGCGGUCGAAGCAAAAGUGUUAAGUGGACCGCCUGGGAAGUACGGUCGCAAGGCUA
rnacentral:rRNA from 1 species